ACAGCUCUAGAGAGAGAGAGAGAGAGAGAGAGAGAUGGAAAAACAGGGAAGGGUGGUGGUUGAUAAAGUGGGAGGAAGGUCAACAGUGACAAGAUGCUUCUCAAAGUAUCCUCUCAAGUUUAUAAUUCCCAGAAAGGUGGGUUCCUCUGAAACUGAUGCUGUUUGGGUUUACACCCUCACCUAUGGUGGUGGCAUUGUCUCUGGAGAUUCUGUUUCAUGUGAAUUUACCAUUGGAGAUGGUUGCACCACUGUCUUAACAACCCAAGCUUCCACUAAGGUCUACAAGUCUGUGGGAUCAAAGUGCUGUGAGCAAGUCUUGGAGGCAAGAGUUGGGAACGAUGCCCUUUUGGCUGUCAUUCCAGAUCCGGUGACAUGUUUCUCCACGGCAAGGUACUCUCAGAAACAAGUCUUUAGGGUAGCCUCUAACUCAAGUUUGGUCAUUGUUGAUUGGAUUACCAGUGGGCGUCAUGAAAGUGGAGAAAAAUGGGAUUUUGAUCUUUAUAAGAGUGCCAACCACAUAUUUAUAGAAGAUGAUGAGCCCUUGUUUCUUGACAUGGUGCACCUGGAGCGUGGAAGUAUUUCUUCGAUUGCAGAACGCAUGCAGGACUACCAAGUCAUUGCAAUGGUUGUACUCUUGGGGCCAAGGAUCAAGCACAUUCAAAACCUAGUUCAAGAAAACGUGAAGAGGAUGAUGUCUGAGCAAUUACACAUUCCUUCCACUGCCUCUGGUCUCCAAUUAAAACCAAAUUCUGAUAAUCGCUUCACCAAACCAAGCUUUAUUGCUUCUUCAAGUGUUUUUGGUCCUAAGGGAAUAGGGGUGGUUGUUCGUAUAGCUGCCACAACAACUGAAUCAGUUUACGAGUUCCUGCAGCAUCAAUUGGCGGGCUUGGAGCCACUACUUGGGAUAUCACCAUAUCAUUGAACCUACAUGGAGAAUGUUUAUUCUAAUGAUAGAAACUGAUACUAUGGCCUAAGCUGUGGAUUUAUUGUUCCCACAUUACAGCCCUAUGUGACUCCUCAUUUUCUCUGGCAAUUUGUGGAACUUUUCUGCCCGGAGCCUGAAACCCCUUUUUGCUUUUUUUAGUUCUUUUUCCUUCUGUGGUUGCAAUGGAGCAUUGUGGUUUGUGUUUGUCUUGUGACUGGCAUGCUCUCUGAUAUGCUUGUAUUGGCUGGAAACUUAUUUUACUACUUUGAGUGGGACAACAAAAUAAAGAUUUAAUGUUUUGUAUA